GACGAACGCUGGCGGCGUGCCUAAUACAUGCAAGUCGAGCGGGUUUGUCCCUUCGGGGACAAGCUAGCGGCGGACGGGUGAGUAACACGUAGGCAACCUGCCCAUGGGUCUGGGAUAACGUCGGGAAACCGAUGCUAAUACCGGAUAUGUGGUUUCCUCGCAUGAGGGAACCUGGAAAGACGGCGCAAGCUGUCACCGAUGGAUGGGCCUGCGGCGCAUUAGCUAGUUGGUGGGGUAAUGGCUCACCAAGGCGACGAUGCGUAGCCGACCUGAGAGGGUGAUCGGCCACACUGGGACUGAGACACGGCCCAGACACCUACGGGAGGCUG
rnacentral:rRNA from 1 species